GUGAUUGUUGGAUAUGAAGGAGGAGAGAGUUCCAGGCCUGAGGCAGUUUUUGGAUGAAGCACGGUUGGUGAUAUAGAUGAGAUCGAGGCAGAAGAUUCUAGGAAAUAACCACAACUCAUGCUUACAUAUGCAAAUCUCCAGGCUUGGUUGGUUCACUGAGAUGUCGGACAAGAUGGUUCCUUGAAAAAAGUUCUAUUUACAGCAUUCCAAAAAGCAUCUGCUGGAUUGCAACAGGCUUCCCCACCCCUCUUCCCCCCAACUCACAGCACAGUGCUAGAUGCCACGCAACAGGAAGUUCAACAGCCACUGCCCUACCUUCUAGGAGUUUUUGACCUAAAUCAGACAACACUGACAGGUUGUGAACUUCUCUUACAAGUGCUGGGAUACCCAGUUUCCAACCCAAUGUACCAUGUUCUGACUGCAAGGUCUGAGGCUGGGUGAGCCCCUUCUCCUCAUGGAGAUGGGGAGCCAGUCUGCUGAGGGGUCUCCUUCCAGAUUGGGUUGGAAGAUGCGGAUUACUGAAUCAUCUUCUUCUUUAGGACAGUGGAAGUGCCUUUGCUUAGGUCCUUGGGCAGCAGACCUGAGAGAAUCCA